UAUCUGGUUGAUUCUGCCAGUGACAUAUGCUUCUCUCAAAGAUUAAGCCAUGCAUGUGCAAGUGCAAGCUAUUUUUAUGGUGAAACCGCGGAAGGCUCAUUAUAUCAGUCAUGGUUCAUUGGAUUGUACCCAGUUACUUGGAUAACUGCGGAAAUACUGGAGCUAAUACAUGCCAACGGAGUUCUGACCGGAGACGGGAGGAACGCUUUUAUUAGAUCAAAACCAAUCGUUGGCUUCGGCCUUCGUGUUUUUGGUGACUCUGAAUAACUUUGUGCAGAUCGCAUGGCCUCGCGCCAGCGACGCAUCUUUCAAAUGUCUGCCCUAUCAACUUUCGAUGGUAAGUUCUAUGCUUACCAUGGUUGUAACGGGUAACGGGGAAUCAGGGUUCGAUUCCGGAGAGGCAGCCUGAGACACGGCUACCACAUCCAAGGAAGGCAGCAGGCGCGCAAAUUACCCACUCCCGGCACGGGGAGGUAGUGACGAAAGAUAACAAUACGGGACUCAUCCGAGGCCUCGUAAUUGGAAUGGCAACACUUUAAAUCCUUUAUGGAGUAUCUAACUGAGGGCAAGUCUGGUGCCAGCAGCCGCGGUAAUUCCAGCUCAGUUAGCGUAUAUCAAAGUUGUUGCGGUUAAAAAGCUCGUAGUUGGAUCUGCGUCUCGCACGGCUGGUUCACCGCCCGUCGGUGCUAACUGGUUCGUCGGGAUGUCAUGCCGGAGGCGCGUCAGCUACCCCUGCGGGGCGUGGGCGGUGCCCGUUGAAAUCCUGCUCUGGUGCUCUUCACUGAGUGUCGAGGUGGGCCGGCACGUUUACUUUGAACAAAUUAGAGUGCUCAAAGCAGGUCAAGUGAUGGCCUUGAAUAUUUUUGCAUGGAAUAAUGGAAUAGGACUUCGGUCCCAUUUUGUUGGUUUUAAGGACCUGAAGUAAUGAUAAAUGGAGACAGGCGGGGGCAUUCGUAUUGCUACGUUAGAGGUGAAAUUCUUGGAUCGUAGCAAGACGGACUGAAGCGAAAGCAUUUGCCAAGGAUGUUCUCGUUGAUCAAGAACGAAAGUUUGGGGCUCGAAGGCGAUCAGAUACCGCCCUAGUCCAAACCAUAAACUAUAUAGACUGGUCCUCUGAGGGAUGUCCAUUGAUGCAUCCUCAGGUAGCCUCCGAGAAAUCAAAGUUUUUGUAUUCCGGGGGAAGUAUGGUUGCAAAGCUGAAACUUAAAGAAAUUGACGGAAGGGCACCACCAGGAGUGGAGCCUGCGGCUUAAUUUGACUCAACACGGGAAAUCUUACCAGGCCCAGACACUGGAAGGAUUGACAGAUUGAAAGCUCUUUCUUGAUUCAGUGGGUGGUGGUGCAUGGCCGUUCUUAGUUGGUGGAGUGAUUUGUCUGCUUAAUUGCGAUAACGAACGAGACUCUAACCUGCUAAAUAGACGUACCCGGCUUCCAAGGCAGCCGGCGGUACUAAAUCUUCUUAGAGGGACAGGCGGCUCUUAGCCGCACGAGAUUGAGCAAUAACAGGUCUGUGAUGCCCUUAGAUGUUCUGGGCCGCACGCGCGCUACAAUGGAGGUGUCAGCGUGUCCUCCCUGGCCGAAAGGUCUGGGUAACCCGCUGAAACGCCUUCUUACUAGGGAUUGUGGCUUGAAAUUGUACCACAUGAACGAGGAAUUCCCAGUAAAGGCGUGUCAUCAGCACGCCUUGAUUACGUCCCUGCCCUUUGUACACACCGCCCGUCGCUACUACCGAUUGAAUGUUUUAGUGAGGUCUUUGGACCGGCGCGCGGAGUUCCUUCGGGAACACCGAUGCCGCUGGGAAGAUGCCCAAACUUGAAUAUUUAGAGGAAGUAAAAGUCGUAACAAGGUUGCUGUAGGUGAACCUGCAGCAGGAUCAUUA